UAUAUAUAAGAAUGUCACAUUAUUAGAAAAUAAUAUAUAUCGCGCUGUUAUUUAAAUGUCCAACAUUGUUACUUAAAACGUUUGGUAUUCCUUCUGUCCUAUUCACCAAGCGUUUUCUGUAGCCAUAGAAUAAUUUUUCAAAUACCACUGUGAAAAGUAUUCAAUGUCUGAUCAAAAUAGAUUUUUACAUAAAGAAAAUCAAUUCAGAAUGACAAUAUAUGUACAAACAGUUUUUAAAAUAUUGGAAAUAUUUUUCCAAUAAAUUUUAAUUAAUUAAAAUAUUUCUGAAAUGAUAAUAAUAAUGCAAGCAAUUUAAAUAAUUAUAAAUAGUAUAUUUCUUUUCACAAUGACAUUAUUGUUCCUAAUGUGAUCUGUUAUUCUCUGUCAUGUACAAGUACUUUUUAUACAAUGAUUUUAGAAAUGAUUAUUAAUGUAUCAGUAUAAUACAAAUGUUUAAAAUUAAGGGGAAAAAAAAACGAGUAUUUUUGCUCAGAUAUGAAUAUCAAACAAAAUUCUCUUCUAUGAGAUUUGACUUUAACUUUAAAUGUUACUUACAUGAAAAUAUUUGAGGUGUAACAUCCUAAUUCUGUUUAACAGCUGCUAUGUAUUUAAUAUGUUAUGUGUUACCCUGUUUACUCUUAACUUCGUGUUAUUUCCCGUUUUAAAAUAAAUUAUUAGUGAUAGAAAUAAAAAAAAACCAUACAGAUUACUUAUUAGGUCAAACCCACUUUUAUUAAAUGUAACAAAUUGAAAUAUAGUAGAAUACCGAUAAUAUUUAGAGUAAACAGAAUUAAAAGUAAUUACUAAAAUUAAAUAACAUUCUGCAAAGGACGAUUUCAUUAUAUAAUUCAUAAUUUUUAUGCUUAAUAAUAUAAUUGCAAUGAUCAAUACUUAAAAUAUUAAUUUAUACUUGAUCUUUGUCAUUUGAUUUUCGCGGGUAUGUAAAUGUCGAUGCAGAUGGCAGCAUCAUCGAUUACAGCUGUCGCUCUUUAUGAUAUUUUUUAAAUUCUCAUAUCCUAAUUAGAUUUGUCAUGUUAGAAGUAAAGUUAUCGAAUAAGUUUAUUGUUAAAAAUUAUAAUCUCUUAAUAUGAUUAGAUGCAAUUAAUUCACGUUUUAAUAAAAAGUAAAUAAAAAAAUAAUUUUGGGAAAAAUUAUAAAUUACACAGUGUAGAGGUUAACGAAUAUAUAAUACAGUCAUGGUUGAUAUGUGUUCCACAGAAGAAGAUUCAAACAAAUUUUCUCAUAAUAUAUAUAAAAAUAAUCCUUUACUCUUCAAAAGUUAUAUAGGAAGAGAAGCCAAAAUUACUACAGACAAUGGAAGUAUACAUACUGGUAUUGUGUAUACAGUAGAUCCAGUUUCAGAAAGCAUCAGUUCCAUCCUCGCCCGAGAUGAUUCUCAUAGAUGCGAUAAUUUGUUGGGCGACGGGAGGUGACAUUGCAAUUGCCUAUAUAUCCGCCAGCAGAUCCAAAACUUUUCGUAAAUGUUCCCAUAAGUAUGUCGACUUCCCGUGGAUCUAUAUCAUAAUAAUCACAAACUCCUCGUCCAUGAUUUCCUAUUGCCCCUAUACUAUGAGCCUCGUCCACGUAAAGAUAGGCCUAAAUUUAAUGACAAUAAUGAGUAUUAUUAACUCUUUGCGAUCGUAACACUUUUCGAUCGCAAAGAGUUAAAAACAUAUAAUGAUAAUGAUAUAUUUCAGUUGAAUAAUUCAGAAAAAUCUCUCUUUGCAUAUUUCCAACGAACAUUACCUAACGAAUGUGAAAUAAUCAAAUGUAAUGUCUUAAUAUUUAUAUUAAAAUUAAUGAUAAUGA